rnacentral:lncRNA from 1 species
UCUAGCCUGUGGGUGUGAACGCACCUUUGCCCCCCCCCGCCGCCGCCGCCCUUCCAAACCGAUCUGCACCUCAACCCACUAGCCCGGCUCCGGCUCCACCCGCGCCCGGGGCUGUGGCCGGCCGGCGGGGAGCGGCCCGGCCGUUACCAAUCCCCUCCCCGGCCCUGCCCCGCGAGCCGCUGCCGGGCCAUGGCCGCCGAGCGCGGGCCCGGCCGCAGGAAGCCGUGUCCGCCCCGCAGCGCCCUCCGGAAGGCGGCCCGGAGCCCCGGCCCCGGCGAUAUCAGGCUGGACCCAUCCCAGCAGCUGGUGGGGCACUGGGCCUCCAUUAACUUGGCUUCCGGUGUCGCCUCCCAGCUGCCCCCCCAAGAAAGCAUGGAGUCCUCCCAGGAGGACAUUGCAGAAGCCAGGCCGACAGCUGCCAACCUGGAGCAGAUCCUACCCCCGGAGGUGCCUUCAGCUGAGACCUUUAGCUGCGACCUAGCACCCUGCCCUCACCCAUCCCUGGAGCACCAGGCAGGCCAGCUGGGAAUGCUGUCCGGGGAAUAUCUGCAGAUGUGUUUAAGCAGCAUGGGAGAGUCGUCUUUGCACAGCAACCUGGCGUCUGCCUUGCUACCUGCAGUACCUUCCUCAGACGUUCCUUUGCUACCAGCCAGUGCGCCCCCAUCUCCUGGGGCCUCCUGCAUGGAAACCAACGCGGAAGUGGAUCCCGAGACUGGGGAGUGGGCACUGGCCUAACCCUGUCCAUCCCGCCCCUUUUCAGAGGACUGAUCUCUUCCUAUGGCCGCUCACACUUCAGACCCGCUUCUCUCCUCCCUGCCACCACGUCCUUCCGAGCUGGAGCAGCGACCCUCUGUUCAGCGUCCCAGCGAUACUCCCUACGUCAGGGAUCUCAAACUCAAAUCACCCCAAGGGCCACAUGAGGACUAGUACAUUGGCCCGAGGGCUGCAUCACUGACACCUUUCCAUAUAAAGAUACAAAAGCCUCCCCCC